GUCUCCGUGCCUCCAGGCUGUCCACGCACGUCGGACGACGUCCUAUCCUCGCCUCGGGACGAGGCCGGAUGGACUGCUGUGCGCCGCCCGCGCCGUCCCCGACGGGACGCGCCUUCAAGCCGGCCUGCUGCAUCCUCUGCCCAUCCCACGCCUCUCCACCUCGAGGAGCAGCGUCGGGCGAGCCAGCUCCGCUUCAAAAGGCGCACGGAGGGGCUCUGCUCUCGUUGCCUUGCUCCGCAACAUCACCGCUCCGUCGCUUGCAGGGACCCCAUCCGCUGCCUAGCCUGCAAUCUCUCCGGGCAUACCGAGCGCAAGUGCCCGUUACGUUCCAAGCCACGGCCUCCCGGUCCCAGGCUCGUCCCUACAUCGGCUGCUCGCCCUCGCCCAUCGCCAUCUUUGCCGGGCGCGAUUUCCUGGGCCGCCGUCGUUGCCGCUCCUCCCACGCCGGCCCUUCCUCCUCCUCCACACCAACCCGCGAUGGCCCGCGUCUCUGCUGGCAUUGGGGCGCCGGACGCUCGCCCGGAGGAGGACUCCUGCAUCAUCCCGUCCUCCUUCGACAUGGACCGCGACAUGCUCGACUGGGAGCAGACUGCUGCCAUCGCCUGGUCCGUCAACUCGCCGCGGCGCCUUGAGGCGCUUGACGUCGACCGCGCCAUCCGGAAGCAGUUCCGCUUGAGCCACGCGGACGUGGCUGUCACACCGUACCACCCCGUCGAGUUCCUCGUCAAAUUCAACCACAAGGCUCAUUGCGACGAGGCCCUCGCUGCGGGGCGGGUGCGUGCCGGCGGUUGCAUCGUCCACAUCCAUCCCUGGCGGCCGCUGGAGCGGGCUUUUGGUGCGGCUCUAAACUACAGAGUGCGUCUCUGCCUUGAGAAUGUGCCGGACUACGCCUGGACUCCGUUCGUCGCCGAACGCAUCAUCGGCCGACGCUGCUCCCUCGACCGUCUAGAAGACCACUCUGCGCUCAGGACGACCUCAGAGACGCUCGACCUUUGGGCGUGGCGGCGGACCCAAAUCUGAUCCCGAAGAUCAUUUGGCUCACCUUCACCACAAGGCCGUCCGGCGGUCUGCAGGUGUUCGCCAAUGAGGCCAGACCGUCGGGCUGCAAGAGAGGCGCCACCUUCCACGUGCUGGUCCACCUGGAUGCGGUGGAAGACCAUGCCAACGCCCCGCUGGACUGCUACGUCACCAACAGCCGCGCCGCAGCCUUCAUUUCGCCUCGGUCGAACCUGGUGUGGAACCGGGGUUCUGUUGAUGGCGUUCCCCCGCCGCUAGGGCCGACGCUGGCCGCGCCUGCUCCUGUCCCCUCCCGGGCUGCUGCACCACGUCGCCGUGGCCAGGGGUCCGACGACCACCCUCGCCACCAGCCGCGGCGCCGCGACAACGGCGACGACUCCGACGACGACUGGCAUGGGGGCGGUGGCAGAGAUGGGCGCGGGUGCGAUGGUCGUCCCUGGGAGACUCGCUUGGAGGUGCGCAGAGAGCGCACCCGUUCCCCCCGUCGCCGGGACGGGGCGGCCGGAAGUCACGGUCGUCGUCGGGCGGGGUCCCCUGCCUCUGCGGAGCCGGUGUCUCCGGCGUCCGGGCUAG
rnacentral:rRNA from 1 species